rnacentral:tRNA from 1 species
GUACCGCGAUAGCUUAGCUGGUAGAGAAUCCGUCCGGUAAGCGGAAUGUUGCCGGUUUGAUUCUGGUUUUCAUACU